rnacentral:tRNA from 2 species
GCGCCCGUAGCUCAGCUGGUAGAGCACUCGGCUUUUAACCGAUUGGUCGUGCGUUCGAGUCGCACCGGGCGCA